GUGAUCAAAGGAAGGGAGGAAAACACGCUGGAACCCCUUGGACCUGCUGCUGAAUGGGGAUUUUGGUCGGAUGUUGAGUUUACCUGGAAUGCCCCGGUGCUAUUUUGGGAAGACAGACAUCCUAUGGAAACAAUGAAGUGGAAAAGAAAACAACUAAAGCAAAAUCCAGAGCCCAGUUUCUGCUAACCCAGCUCCACACAGCCUGGGCAGACCGUGGAAGCCCGUCAGGCGUGCAAAGGGCUGAGACUGAGUGUGUCCGGUUUACCAGCAGAGAAUGCGAGAUGUAGAAAAAGGGUCCCUUUGACAUUUCCAACAAGUCAGUGACGAAAUGGAAAGAUCCUGGGAACAGUCUGCAGCAUCCCAGACUCCUCUCCUCCAGAUGAAAAAAAAUGAGCCAUCUUCCUAAAACAGCCUGCGGAGCUAGCUAGAGAACAUGCAGAACCUGUAAGCCCAGGAGCUCAGCUGUCCCAUCCUGGAAACAGACAUCUGUCUGCGCCUUCGUCUACAGAGCCCUGGCCCUCGCCUCUCGCUGUGAGCACCGCUCUCUCGUCUGCGUUCCAGUCGAGAGAUAAACAGAAUGGACUCGGAGGUGGACAUUGUUCUCCAACAGGCCUGACUGCAGCCCAGCUGGGCUAUGAGGAAGGAACUGUGCUCUGUGAUCAUGCCGGACAGAAGGAGAACAGAGUCAAAUGGGCUAACAUGUGUCUGUGCUCCUCUUGAGAGGCAAACCACAGGCCCAAAUCACAGCACUAACAAGUGGCAAAGCAAAGGAAGGAAUGCAGGUGCAGCUGGUUCCAGCGCUCAGGGCUCCUUCCUUCCCUGGAUGCGGAGAAUAUUCUAGCCUUCCUCGCCAAAACAGGCAGAGCAGAGCCAAGAGAUUUUGCAAAGACUGAAUCAUGAAGAAGGAACCAGGCCUCCCCUGGAUGAGCCUUGGAAAGCCCAACCACAGGGUCACAAAAAACAGUGAGUCAAAACCCAACCCUUGGGAGAAAAAAAGGGCAGUGUGUGUGUGUGUUGGGGGUGGUGGUCAGGAGAGCUCUUCUAGCACCUAGAAGGCAGCAGAGGUUGAGGAGGUGCCUACCACCUGGUCGAGGUGCUUAGAUGCUAAGAGACUUUUCUGGAACUCAAGGAGGUAAAUUCUUUAGCUUCUGCCAGAGGUUGAGUGGCUGCAUAGGGCAAGCCCGUUUCCUUGUUUCAGAGCAGGUCCUGCAUGUGAGCAUCUCAGGGCUCAGUGAGAAAGAGUAAGGUCAUGGAGGCAACCCUGUAAUCAGCCCAAAAGUGGGUUCAUAUCUUCUGGGUGCUUCUCCCUGACUUCUCUCUGGACCUUCUCCUUGUUUCUCUUAUUUGGACAUUCAGGACUCUUCAGUGUGAUCCUUUGAACUCAGACCUUAUAGUGACAGAGUGAAUGAGUGUCAUUACAUUGAGUCACAGUUGCUGGAGAGAGCUUUGUCGGAGGAAGUAGGAAAGAAAACAGAGAACGCGUGCUACUGAGGGCCCAGCACUGAGGGUGGCACUGUGCACGUGUUAUCUCAUCUCAUCCUCCUAACAGUCCCGCGAGGCAAGCACUCUUUUUCUCCUCAUUUUACAGGUGAGGAAACAGAGGCACAGAGAGGUUAAGCAGUCUGCCUGAGGUCACCAAGUGAGAGAACUGAGAACUGUGAACCCACAGCUUUUGGAGUCUUAUACCUCUAGGUGGGAGAAUUUUCAGUCUGGGACAUGACUGAGGGAGUGGAAAUAAAGCGGAGGUUAGCAGUGUCCUUACUCCCACGAGGACAGGCCAGGAGCUCUGGCCCUGCCACAUUCAGGCCCCUGGGACCCACAGCACUGCAGCAGAACCAGAGAAGGUGAGACACUCUGACCACAUCCCACAAGGAUUAAAUCUGAAUCUCCAGGUGCAGCCCAGGAAUCAGCUUGUUAGAGCCUCUCUGGUGAUUCCAAUGCACAGUCAAGGUUGAGAAGCAACCUCCCCGCUGUAUAGAUGGGGACACUGAGCCCAGGGAGGGGAAUUAGAUUUCCCCAGGCUGUGCAACCCAUACCACCACUAAGGACUCCAUCCAGGGUCUUCUAAUUCUCCAUCAGCCAGGACUUGCUUGCAGGACCACCUCUCCCACUGACUAGCUGUGUAGCCUUGAGUGGGUCAUUUAACUUCACGAUGAAAGACUUUACUUAAACUCUUAAGAUGGCACAAGUGCUCAAGAAACACCAGUGUUCUCCCUGCCCAGCCCCCACCUCAAAUUCAGCCCACUAUCUACUAUAUAACAAUGGACAGAGAAAAUUGUGAGCAAGGAUGGAAUUGAGAAUCUGACUGUUCUUGAGCCUUAAGGACAGGACUUGGAGUACCCCAGAAGUGUUGCCUGCCCAGAGGAGUCCUGGGGAAGGACCCAGAUGCCAAACCAAUGACCUGUGAGAGGUGACUGGGGGAGGGGGUGAGAAGGAGCGCACAGGGAUGAGAUUGCUGCUGCGGAGCUGGAAAGGCAGCCCAGAGUGGGUCAAUCCCGUCCUACCAGGAAAUGCAGGUAGUGCCACCAGGUGGAGAGUGAUGCUUUGUCUUAAGAGCCCUGGCAAGGCACUCUUAAGAUAGCGACAGCUGAAAGGCAAGUGAGGGCAUGUGCUCCCCCACCCGCACACGCCUGUGCUGUAUAAAUAAACGAUUGAUUACAACUCUAAUAUAAAUAUCCCACACUGUUAACAGUGUUUAUUUCCAGCACAGUGGAAUGAUGGUGAACUUUCACUUUCCUGGUCGUCUGUUUCUUUGAUAUUUAGCUUUUUCAUAACAACCAUUGCACUACUUUUGUCAUAAAAAAUAACGAAUUUUUAAAUGCUGAUAUAAAUAUUUGCAGAACACCAGGUACCUAUGCUUUCAAAUGGCCUUUCAGAGAAAGUCAGUCAUUUGGAGAAAGAUUUUCAAAGUAUUGCGACACAGGUGCAAUUUGGUGCCCUCUCCCUUGUCUUAGCUGUUUUAAAUGACAGCUUCCUCAGUCCUGGGGCUGCCCUUCACACUCCCAAUGGAAGCAUUUUAGGCCUACUCAGCUCUUCUGUCCUUACUAUUACUCUGCCAUCAAAAAGAAAAAGAAAAAGAAAAAACCCUGCCUUUCUCCCCCGCCAUGGCCAGGUGCUCUGUCUCUACAGUCACAUCGGAGACACACAUCUUUCAUGCCUCGUUCCUCAACAGCAAGAACACACCUGCCUCCAGCUUGUAGGAUUAAUUACCCCCUAACAAAUAAUAACUCCCAGUGCAGGAGGAGUAGAGGCAAGAGGCUCUAAAAAUGUGAUUGUGCGAGAGAAACCUUGCUGUUUUGUACCAGAAAGUGGCCGCAAGCAUGGCUGCCCCCGGGUGUGACGUACUGAGGAGACAGCAAUGGGGAGCACUUCAAAAUGAGAAACUUUCUGGAAAGUACAGCAAAGGUGGCCCAGGUAUGCAGGGUUCAGCUUCUGGGGCAGUCUCCCAGCUUCUUGGUGGUGCCCUCCGGAUCCUGCUGCUUUGCCCCUCCUGACGCACCCGGGAGUGGAAAUGCUGAGCAGAACACCGUGGAACUACAACACGUUAGUGGAGGGGCAAUCGUGGGGACACUCGGCCAGCUGUCCAUUUGGUGAGCAUAUGCCCCGGACGCCAGAAGACGUGUGUCUGCCUGACUCAUGAGUGAGUGUGAGUCUAGUGCUCAAAGUACACAUUUUCCACACAACAUGGUCCCUAAAUGCAAGACAGCCACCUCGUUGCAUUUGUUCACCUAAAGUCACAACAUCUGUUCUCGUGCUGAUGGCAACACCAGCUGGUGGGACUAAAUGAGAGAGUUUGUCAGAGUCUCCAACAUGGUACCUUCUGGAAGGGGAGUCAAGGUGAUUUUGAUCAUGGACAAUCUUUCCUCAUGUGCUGACUUUAGAGAAUAACUCCAUAUAAGAUGUGACUCCCCAUAAGUGUAGGAUCCUAGCUCCUGCUUCAAUUGCUGCCAAUAUUCCUUUGUUCUCCUUCCAUGCAGCUCCAGACCCUUGUCCCCAGGUUUUGAUGCCACCCCCAGGCCUUUGCCUGGGAUGGAAAGUCACCUGCUCCGUCACAGGGGAUACCCGGAAUAUCUGGGUUGGAUCACAGGCCAGCAGAAUUUGCGGAGGUUCAUCUCAUCCCAUAACAACCAAAAGGACUUGAGAGCUUGAUAUUUAAUGGAAAAGCCAUCACCAUUCUCAUGGAACUCAGCUGAAAGGAUGUAUGCUCAUGGGUGCCAGGCCCUUUAUAGUCACAAGAAUCUGAACUAUGAAGACACUGGAUGGGGCACAAGGCCCUGGGCUCGGAGAGAGAUGAAGUGUUUCUCUGGAAGAGAAUCUUGGCCUCUUGCAGACCUGGGAAGUGCCAGGGCUUAGCUCCUGAGUGAAGAUCGCUGGUGCUGACAGCUGGGAGUCAGGGCUCUGGGGCCACUCAUUGUGCAGGAGCCAGUGGUCCUGGUGCAGGAGGAGCCCUUCCAAAGGUGGGGGCGUUGGAUCCUACAGACACAGGCUGGCCCCUCUGGGGGCUCCUGUGGUGUCAGAGCCAUUUCCCAAGCACCUGCCACGGUUAUCAGCUCAGGCUGAGUGCUUCUGGAGUGGUGGAGAGAGGGCGGAGGGAGAGAAGCAGCCAUGGGCUUCCUCCCAGGCAGCUCAGCAGCCUGGAGGAAUCAAGGGACACUGUGCAUUCCCUCUAGAGUUGUCUCCAGCCUGCUCUGGUUUGGAACACACAUGUGGGGUCCGGAAGGCUGAGUUUCCAAUCCCACUCCCACUAGGUACCAGUCGAGUGCUGUGGACAAGUCCCUUGACUCUUCUGAGCCUCAGCCUUCUCACCUGUAAAGUGGGGAUAAGAAGACUAUCCUCGCAAGGUUGUUACAGGGCUAUAUGAGAAAAGCGAGAAAGGGACAAAGGUGUGUCGUAGAGCAUGAGUCUGCUAGGACACAUGGGUCACAUGGUGGUGGGGACAGGGAAGGACAGGUGGGGAUCCUAGACAAUGAAAAAGUUUUUGCAUCCUCAAUGACGUCUUCCGUUUGUUUCGUUUCUGAUGAAGGCUUUGAGGAAAGGAGAGGAGCUCCCUGGGAGGAGAGGAAGGGGCCUGGAACACAGGGUGGGGAGGGGAGGAGACCAGGAUGAACAAGGACCCCUCCUUCUGGGUAGCCACAGGGUCCGCCUUCAUAUUUUUAAUGUCCCACCUGUCAGGUAAAGACUCCUAUUAAUGAAAACAACCUGUUUCUCUAUUUGCAAAAUGAAGAGAUUGGACGGGCUGAACUUCAAGCUCCGUCCAAGCGCAAUCUGGCAUCUCUAGAUACCCUGAGCCUAAAAAGCCACCCCACACGUGCACACGCACACACGCACACACGCACACACACACAUGCAUACACAGUCGCUCACACUGACACACACAUUUGUUCCUAGGGUUCUAGUCAGAAUAAGUUGAUGUUAGGAGAUAGCCAGGGGCUUGUGUUCCAGGCUCAGGCACAUCUUAGCUGCUGCUGUUAGGCCUUCCCCAGGGCGACAGAAGGACACAGACACAGGGCCACCCUCUGGUCUGAUCUCUCUGCCUUAUGCCAGUGGUGAGGUGGAUUGUUGGGCCAAGGAGAAUGCAAGAAAGAAGAGGAGGAUGGGGAUCCGCCCUGGGGUAGGCCAGGAGGCAGGGGUGUAGGGCCUUGGCUUUACCACACCCCUAGAAGCGCCCUAGAGAGGGCAAAACACGGGGCUCAGCUGGGAAGGCCCUAGAAGACCAGUCAGUGCCUGGGUCAAGACUUUAUGCUUGGGUAAACCACUGGGACCGGGGAGUGAUAUUUACAAUCAUCUUCCCAUUGCUUUCCUGACCCCGGACCAAGCAGGUGGCUCCUGAGAGCAGCAACAUUCAAUCAUUAAGCGAUUCACUCAUUCACCUAACAACCGUUUCUGAAGCAGACCUAUACCCUGCUGUGGGGGAGCUCAGAGCUUAUAUCCCCCAGUGUUUUCUGCGCUGCAGAUUUCCCAACAGGACGAAGGAGGCCUUCUGGAAUCUGAACAUGGUGUGGGUAGGCCUCAGCAUAGCAAAAUCCAGUGGAGAACAGUUUGCAGCCUCUGGGUUUUGAGCCUCCUCCCAAACCUUGCAGUGGAGAAGUUCUCCUUUGCCUCAUGCCCCCACUCUGUGUCUCCACCAUGUGCCUCUCAAGCUGGUGCCAGGCUGGAUCAGAGUGCCCCAGCCUCGUGUGUCACCCACACACCCCAGCAGCCAAACCACAACUCUGACCUAGACGGAUGCUUCAACACAGGUGUUAGCAGACCCACUGGAGGGACAUAAAGGAAGUGAUUAAUUCUGGUUUGGGGAAUCGAGGAAAGUUUCAUGAAGGAGGGAAGAGAUGAACUAGGCCUGAGAGAUGGCUAGAAUAUUGACAGAAGGCUGAAGGAAUGUUGUCAGCAAAGGCUUGGAGGCAAGAACAAAGGAAGGCUGAAGACAUUUUCAUAAUUACCCCAAAUGGCUCUCUGACUCAGAGCCAAUCACUUUCCUGUACACAGUUCAAGGGAUGUGAGUUUUGUUUUUGUUUUUUUCCGUAAAGAUUGGCACCUGAACUAACAACUCUCGCCAAUCUUCUUUUUUUUUUCUGCUUUUUCUCCCA